UGAUAUUGGGCUAUGUAAAUAAAAUUCAACUGAAACGUAUCGUGAGACAAAUAUCACAAUAUGUAUCGUAUCGUCAAACUCUUGCUAAUUCACACCCCUAUAAUACACAGGUUUGUGUUUAAUCUUGUUUUCAGUCACUCCGGUGGUUCAGAUGUUAAAUCUGCACUUUCCAUCUGUGAGGUUUAGAAGUCAGUGAAGGUCCCGGCGGUGGAGAAGGCCUCAGAGGGAGAUCAUCGACGUGCAGAAGAAGCUGAAGAGCUUCUUUAUGAACAGAGUUAGAACUAGGAUACAGUUCAAUAAUGACAGAUUUUAGUUCAGGUACAAAGAUUUUGCAAAAAUAUUUUUUUUUUUUUGAAAGAGGAUGAUGAUAUAAGGACACGUAUGAAUUCAGGAUUUUGGAACUCCCUUUUAUUAAUUAUAUUUUCAGCUUUGCUAUACAAGCAAAUGCAAAGUUUAUCCAGUAAAGUGAUGAGUUUUUGUUUGAAGGCAUUUUUGUAAAAUGUGUUUCUAUUGGGCUAUUUAAAGUUGCACCUUUAAAAAUGUAAAUCCUAAAUGAUGCAGAACUUGCGUCACAGCCGGUUUGUUGUGCUGUAGAUACGUGGAGUUCAACCUGGUGUACGACAGGGGGGUGAAGUUCGGCCUGGCCACCCCCGGCUCCAGAAUCGAGAGCAUCCUCAUGUCCCUCCCCCUCACUGCCAGGUGGGAGUACAUGCACGAGCCUGCCAAAGGGACCAGGGAAGCAGAAAUGCUGGAGGUGUUGCGAAACCCCAAAGAGUGGGUGUGACUUCACCUGUCAGGAUGACAUUUCCAGGAAAUCUUUCUUUGUUUCUUUUUAAGCUGUGACACGUCUGAUCUUAAUAGGAGACUGCAUUUAUAACAGUUGCACACUAUCAGUUUUUGUAAUACAGGUUUUACUUCUUCUCCAACGUUUUGGUCUGUUUUUUUUAAGUGUGCUGAAACCUUAGCUCACUUUGAACUAAAGGAGCCUUUGUGCCAUCACUGACUGGUCAGUUAGGCAGCUUUGUUGAAUCCUUCCUUCCUGCUUGUUUUUCUCCUUUUAUAAACCUGGAAUGAAUGCCGUUCGUUUUACUUGAACCCGAGUACACUUUCUGUCUUCCUCACUUCACCAAUGAAGCACAGAAAAAGGGAAACACAGUUUUUGUGAGUCUCUACUGUUUUCAAAUGUCAAUAAAAGACUCGUGUGUGCACUGAAAACAAGGAAUUAUUGCUGACAAAUACAAAGUAAUUGAGUCUUGA